AAUCCCACCCCUAUCUCCAAGCCAAACACCGGGUCAGCCCUCAAUUCUUGGCCGGUGGAGGCAUCACCUCGUUCGGCUUGCGCUUUAUACUUUCGACGAGGUGCAUAACUCCAGCCCAGAAACAAUACCUGAAUACAUAGCCUACGUUUAUUGCUCUUUAGUCGCUUUCAUUAUAGCCUAGAGGUAGGCUAAAUCAAGUUAGUAGGCUAUACCGGUGAUUGAUUUUUUAAAAGUAUGAAUUUAGCUCAGGAAAACGAAGAUUCCAAAUAGAUUAGUUGUGGUUCCAUUUCAUGUGAAGAUUAUGUUGUCAGUUUAGGUCAAUUUACUUCAUAGCCAUUAUAUAUGGUUUCGUUUGUUUAUAAAUCCGCGUGCAGUUAUAUCUGUUGAAGUGUUGAUCGUGGUUUGGCCAAAAUAGCAUACAGUUAGUUUCCUCACUGGUUGUGCUUAAUGAUAUACUUACACAGACUAUGCUGAGACGGAAAGAGAGUCCACAGCCACCCGUACCUGAAUGGUGGGCAAUCGGACUCAAUGUAGUGAUUAUAUUUCAGGGCUGUCCAUUUCCGUGACUCGCUGCUGUUUUGUGAACGAUUCACAGCAAGGACAGCGACUAAUAAACCGGACAUUGCCACUUUAAAAAACUGCCCCGGGCCAUUUGAAAAGCGCAGAGACAGAUGCUGCGUCGAGUCAAGAAGAAAAGAAAACAAAUGAAUUUCGAGGGCAAAAUCGACAGAUAUAUAACGCGCAUAAACUGAAACAUUUUCAGCAUAAACUGAAAUAUGUUCUCUGAGCGUGAGGGCACAUCAGCGUCCUGACUCGCCUAAACAGUUUGUUGGUUGAAAACACACAAUACUCCAUGCAGCUCCGGGAAUGUUCCUGUCUGCAGCCGGCCCUCUCCUCCCCGGCUUCCCAAACUUUGAUCAGCGAGGCCUGGCCGCGGAGCCGCUUGAGCCGUGCAGCAUGUGGGUUGCUUUUUCAAUUACAACCCAGUUCGUGACCCUGGCAUAUAUCAUUAACCCCCCCACUCUCACUGCAGCAAGCUUACACAAGCGUAAUGGGUCAGGGCACACUAACAGCAUCUUAUUUGAGUGCAAAAUAGCAGCAAGACGUACUUGUUUGCCAUUCAUUGAUUUCUGAAAAUAUAUUUAACAAAACCACUAAAUAACUUACUAUCUUUAAGCAUAUCAUGCGAUUCAAUGAAACAUCCAUAUCAUGGUUUCGGUCGAGUGGCAUUGAAUGGUCCUUAAUGGAUAGUUUCAGUGAUAACAGUGGAUUACAAAAACAACAAACCACAACCUCAAAAUACCUCAGAGAUGGCAGUUUUAGGAUGCUACUGAUAGCAAGGUGUUAGAAUAACAUAGCUACUAAAUCCGUAAAGUAUUUAUGCAAUGCAUUAUAGCCUAAUGAUUGUAAUUAAAUGACGCGGGUUAAACCGUAGGAUAUUUUGUGAGUGAUAUAGCACCUGGAAGAGAUUUGAUCCUUUGAAUAGUCCUAGAAUAAAUAAAAAAGCAUUAGCCUACGGAGAAAUGAGAAUUCCCUGCAGAUUGAUUGAUCUUUUGUACGCUUACUGUUUACAUCUUGUGAAUACUGACUAGAACCGUAACAAUACAUGAUUCGCUAGUUCUUUCGGCGGGUAACGUUGACAAUAGUGCUAACAGUGAUUUGUACGCACCUUUGAAUUUGUGUUGCAAUGCUUUGUCUUCUUGUCAAUUAGCUGAUGUCAUCGAAGUCUUUACUAGAUAUAUUACAACCUCGUUAAGGUCAUAAUGCUACUGACUCACAACUUUUAAACAAAGCUGCUGUCCUCGGACAGUGUUAGGGUUAGAGAUAUAGGACAAUUGAAAGUUACAUGCAAAGUGUAUUUUAUGCAUCUAAGAAAAUUAAGAAACAAUUCAAAUCCAUAUGGGUGAUGUAGGCUACAAGAAUGUCUACCUACUAUAUAGGGAAAUGUAUGUCAUUAACUUCACUAGAAAGCUUCAUGUAAUUGCUGCAUCUGCAGUUGAAGUAAACCGAAAAAUAGGCCACAUCUGAAAUAAAUGGGAGAGUAUUUCCUAGGUGUUGGAAGUUAUCUGACUGACUUCAGAAAUGGAAGGUAUAAAUGACGUAUAGGCUAUAUAGCCUAAAAUGUUGCUCUGUCCGGAGUACCCGCUCAUGUGCAUUUUACCUGUAUCCCUAUGGUCUCAUGAGUCUCUCGUUCUGCCCCUGAACAAGGCACUUAACCUACUGUUCCUAAACCAUAAUUUAAAAUAAGAAUUUCUUCUUAACAGACUUGCCUAGUUCAUAAAAAUAAAAGCAACUUUGUGGAUAGGUCAUGUAGGCCCAGGGGUCCUAGUACCACUGGUUAGGAACCGCUACUAUAGACUAACAAUUUUGGUUUGUUCAAAUGUCUUCGCUCAAAUAGGUAGUAGAGAGACGACAAGUUAAUCAAAUCAAACUUUAUUGGUCACAUGCGUCGAAUACAACAAGUGUAUACUUAAUGUCCUAUUGACAACAUGUGCACAUAGCAUAUCCAUUUCUGUUCAGGAACGUAACUCUAUAACAGCCUUGAUCAAUUUGAUGUGAUGUUGCAACACAACAUGGAGAGGCUGGCAAUUAUGUUUGACAUGCACUCAGUUCCCUUGAAAAUAGCCCUGUUGCUCUCUACUAUGGGCUACAGUCCUAUCAAACUCGUGUUGAUUUAACAGAGUUGAACUUGUUGACAGUGCUUCAAAAUUCAAUUUUCAACUCAUGCGACCGAAUACAUUGAAUCGUAUUAUAUACAGAAGCGAUAUGAAAUUACUUGGGUCAGGGGGAAAUCACAUUUAUUUCAGACAUACUUUCAUUUAGCAAGGAAAGCACUUUCCCGUGUUCAAUUUCGAACGUAACCGCUCACACGAUGGUCUCUAUCAUUGAAUUAGAAAUAAGUGUACACAUAGGCAGGCUAUAAUCUUGCUCAGAAUCAGGCGAUUGGGGUCCUCAGUUUAUGAGGAAGCGUUUCGUUUGAAUAAAAUCAUUGAUGCAUAAAGCAUUUUCAUUGGACACUUUGGCAAUGUAAACAACACAGAACUGUUAGGUUAUAAAAAAAGUAUUCGCCUCCUGUUAGACGAUUGAAAAGCCUGCUCUGAAAAGUGUCUAUUAAGAUUACAUUUGUACAUUAAAUGAACAAUAAUAAUAAUAAUAACCCUAUGCGAAUUGUAAUUGUUUAGUGACAUUUGUUUUAUUCACUAAAAGGUCAUAAAAUGUCAUCAACAUACCUGCAAUGACCACGGCAUUUCCCAAUAUAUUCUUCUGUCAUAUUCAUACGAACAAUAGGAUAUAAUACAUGGUAUUGCCUUUGAUUGGUUUCAAAUGUCUGGCACUAUAAAAUGAAUUCGAAGUAGACCUAUUUGAUAUCUAGUUGUCUCCUUUGUGGAUCAAAAGAGUGCACUGAGGAAAGGAAAAUAAUUAUAAGUGAUUAAAAAAUAGGGAAUUUUACUUGCCUAACAUACAUAUUGGCUAACAAUGUAAGUCUUCCUAGUCUAUUUAGUUGAGAGGAUGACAACAAUUAAAUGACAGCAAUCAAAAUACUAUUUCAGAUCUGAUAUUGUUAAAUGUUUUGUAUUGUACACAUUAUAAUGCUAUUAGUCUGAUAAAUUAUUGAAUAUAAGUGAAUAACAAAUUCCAUCACAUUUUAAGACACAUAUAUGUACACAAAUAAAUCACACAAAGUUAAAGAAAUACAGUAUAUGAGGUUGGAUAGAGAUUACUUUUGCUCUGUAAUUUGCGUUCAUUGGGCAGUGAAUUUUUUUCUGUGUGAUUUUGAGCAAAACAAUGUUAGCAAAAGCUUAGCAAACCUGUCCACAAGUGGUUGUAGCUAGCUAUGUAUCAAUACGGCUUCUCUCCUGGUGCCAACCUUGUCUCUCCUCUCGCUGCUCUAUCUAUUCACAUGGUUUGCUGGCAGAGGAGGAUGGGUAUAAAUGGAGACUGUCACAAGAGAGGGUAAAAACCAGGGUCAUGUUCAGGAGGCAGACAACGUUUUGAAACAGAGUGAAACAGCUAAGGUGUGCCCUCCUUUAACAGGCCCCUCCCUCCCCCUGGUAGAGGUGCCAGCUGGGGCACUGGCCUGGGCAUGGUUCCCUCCGACUUAGAGAGACAUUGGUAUGCAGGGCAUCAUGUCACAGUGUGGGGCACCAGGGGAGCGUCAGUGGGCAAACCAUAGAAAUAUAAUGAAUAGAACAGGCGUUCCCAUUCAAGUCAAUUAUGCCCACAGUGGAGGUGUCAUAAUACCCAUAAAACCCAGUGGUCAGACAGGGAAAUGGUUCCAAUCGUUUUUUCCAUCAUUCAUUUUUCCCAUAGGGGAAUUUAUAAACAUUUAAAAUUAGGGCUGUGUUUCUUGUAGGCUUACCCUGGUGUGAUGUUAUGAUAACCAUGUAAAUCUCUCUCGGACAAGGUGACUUAUCAAUAUAUUUGGCUCUAUUUACUCUCAGAUUCAAAAAUGCUAAUUCGCUUCAAAGUAGACGUCACGCAAAACUACAAACCUCUGCAAGCUCCUGCACGUCAUCUCUAGCUGACACCUCUGCUAUCAGGUAUUGUGUCAAUUUAAAACUGGCAAAAGGGCAGUGCUGAGGCGUCACUACAGCCUCGGGUUCGAUCCCAGCCGGCUGUGACCGGGAGACAGGCAAAUUAUUGAUAAAAGUAACCCUGUCCUAGACAGAUUUACACGGUUAUCAAAACGUCACACCAGGGUAACCCUACAUGAAACACAGCCCUUAUUUUAAGUGUUUAUAAAAUCCCCCAUGAAUGAUGAUGAAUGGUGGAAAAAUGAUUUGAACCAUUUCCCUGUUUGACCGCUAGGUUUUAUGGGUAUAUGACUCAUACUGUGGUACUCUAUGGGUGGACGAGUCAUAUGUGCUGUAAUUUGUUGAUUAAACUGACAUGACAAAAAAAUACAUUAGUUUGAAUGAACAUGGAAAUGAUUGCAUCACAUUACCAGGCAGCCACUGUAAGUGGACCCAUGUGUUUACCAAUCAAAAAUGCCAGGGUUAGAAGUUCCAAGCCCAUUCAAUUCAUUCUUUUUCUAUGGGGCAAACAACCUGAAGGCCAGAGCAGAGCCAGUGCUUGUUGGCCUGAGUAUGCCUGCUCAAACACAUUCACAUGGCCAUUGUUUCAGUCUCUGGCCUGGUUUUGCUCCUGUCUAAGGUAAGUGAAUUGCAUUUAAACAUAGGGGCCCUACAUCAAUUAGUCUUGUACUGAUUUUAGAUUCUUGAACAUUUUGUAGUUCAUUUGAUUCUUGUUCUGAGUGUCUGAUAAGUUUUAGAGUGUUGUAUUCACGGUCUGCUUUUCCACAAUAAACUGGCAGAAAAUGUG